GAACUCCUGACCUCGUGAUCCACUUGCCUCUGCCUCCCAAAGUGCUGGGAUUACAGGCAUGAGCCACCGCAUCCGGCCGCAGUUUGCUUUUCUGCCUCACAUUGGGGAGACUGUGGGGCUGCUUGACUCAGGAAAGGGGUGACUAAUGGGAGCUGAAGGGGCUGCACUUGAGAAUCUCUGCCCACCUCCAAAGACUCAUUUCAGAGCCAGCAAGGAGGUACUACUGAGGGCCACUUGGCCGCAGGUCCCCGAGACAGGCCAGCUGCAAACGGGCCCACCUGGCUCCAACGGGAGAGAUGAGGGUACGCGCACGCGUGCAAGCCCCCAGGCUCCAGCCAGAGCCCCCGCAAGCAGGAUCCUGGGCAGUCGCCACCUGUGCUUGGGGCUCAGGAAGCAGACCAGGAGGCUCGAGGGCUCCGGGCCGCACGGCAUGACCGCACCUGUUGUGAGGACACAGUCCACAUCCCGUGUCUGGUGUUCCUGGUUGAAAAAGUCGGGUCUAGAGGCUUCCAGCUUUUUGUCAUAGCAGGGCAUCACCGUGACGUGGUAGAUCUUGUCAGGAGUCAAGCGCUACGAGGGAAAACAAACACACGUCUCCCCAAUCCCAGCAGUACGGUGGCCGAGGCGUGACCUGGAACUCAGCCAUCCUGCAGCCAGGCCGGACCCCGAGGGACAGUGAGCCUCACUCCCUUUCCCAGGAAGCCUCCUGCUGGCUCUGCGGAUGUGCCCCUGGAUAGGACAGGCCCUGGCUGCGACAGAAAACGACACUGACCCGUUCCCAGUGUGCCUGCACUCCCUAACAGCCAAGUCCAAAGGAGGAGGAGAAGUGGCCUUCCCACAGCUCAGGCCCUCUCGCUGCACACCAGCCGGGGAAAGGGAUGUCACAGGGGAACCAACCAGCCCCAGCCCCAGCUUCGCGGCAAACAGCCAGAAUAAUCACGUCUGGCCGCUCCCCAGCCUGAGCCUGGGGCGGCCCAACGCCGUUACCUGCUGCUGGGCGAAGAAGUCCUUGACCAGGGAGCCCAUGACCUGCUGCGGGGACCGGGCGGUGCUGAUGUAGGGGAGGAUGAAGCUGCCGUGCGUCUUCUCGGCAUAGCAGAUCCAGCCUGAGGCGACAGGGGCACACGGGGCUGGCGGGGGCGCACGGCGGCCCCCGCACCCACAGGCAGCAGCACGACAUUCUGGAGGCGGGUCCGCUCAUAUGGGAGAUCAUGAUGACAUUAAAGAGUGCUCGUUCCUGUUCUUCCCACCACCACGUGGAGCUCGGCGUGCACGCAACACCGCCUAGGGACCUGAGGUGACUGUGGGUGGCUCCCAAGGGAGGGCAGCCCCUUCUCCACAAAAGGCCAUUUGUGCCAACAUUUCUAACCCGUCCUGCGAAACCGGCUUGCGUCUCCACCCCCUAUCCCCCGCUUUGUCAUCCGUGUCCAUAUCAUGUCACAUUUUAACUUAACUCGAACUUGACUCUCACACCGCCCGCACCAUGAGCACACCUGGGCAGGCGGAGGCCAGCAGGGGCAGGGCCUGUCUGCAGUCGGCCUGUCCUCGGAAUCGCCGCACAAACUCUCGCUGGCUCUCCAGGAGGCUGAAGUGCCUUGAGAAGGCGGUGUCAAAGACAAAGUGCACCCCUGGAAGGUGAAGGUGGGUGCCUGGCUAGCCCCGCGCGGGACGCCCACGCGAGUACACGCCUGUGUGUGGACCACCGUGGUGCUGCUGGGGGACGUGUGUGGCACCCGCUUCCCGUGCCAAAGCCCCGGCCCCACCGUGGGGACCUCCUUAAGCCGCGUUGCCUCGGCAUCCCCUGCGAAUGCAGGGCUUGCUUUCCCACCCCAGAGGCAGGGCAGCCGCUCGGCAGCUCAGUCCUCCACCCUCCCAGCUCCUUAGCGAGGCUGGUCCAGGGAACUGCCACGUGCACUGCUCCCGGUGACCCUCCCUAGGGCACAGCUGGACGUGGCCUGCUGGACUGGCCCCUCGGACCCUGAGUGUGCAGACCUGCCACAGUGGCCGCCCCUCACACACGGCAGGACUCCUGGGACAGGCCCGCCGGCUCCAAGCCCAGCAAUUAGAACUGCUUGGUAAACCUGCCUGAUCGUGCCCUGGACACCAGCAGAGGCACCAGCACGUGGGUCCCUCUGUCUCUGCCUGACCUGUCAUUCCUGCCUCGUGUAACCCAUGGUCGGAAGACGGCCUUCGGACUCACUGUGCCCCACCUGCCCGUGAUCUGUAAGUAAAAAUCUUUGAACUUG